UACGUAGGGUGCAAGCGUUAAUCGGAAUUACUGGGCGUAAAGCGUGCGCAGGCGGUUAUAUAAGACAGUUGUGAAAUCCCCGGGCUCAACCUGGGAACUGCAUCUGUGACUGUAUAGCUAGAGUACGGUAGAGGGGGAUGGAAUUCCGCGUGUAGCAGUGAAAUGCGUAGAGAUCCGGCGGAACACCGGUGGUGAAGGCGGUCUCCUGGGCCGAGGGCCGACGCUGAGGCGCGAGAGCGUGGGGAGCGAACCGG
rnacentral:rRNA from 1 species